GAUGAACGCUGACAGAAUGCUUAACACAUGCAAGUCAACUGUGGCGGACGGGUGAGUAACGCGUAAAGAACUUGCCUCACGGAUAGGGACAACAUUUGGAAACGAAUGCUAAUCCCUGAUACUGUGAGAGAGCUUUGCGUCCCAUUAGCUAGUUGGAGAGGUAACGGCGCAACAAGGCGAGGAUGGGUAGCCGGCCUGAGAGGGUGAUCGGCCCCAAGGGGACUGGGACACGGCGCUGACUGCUACGGGAGGCAGCAGUGGGGAAUAUUUGACAAUGGACCAAAGGAUGAACCAGCAAUGCUGUGUGCACGAUGAAGUUUUCGGAAUGUAAAGUGAUGUAAGUUGAGAAGCGGUACCAACAGAAGAAGUGACGGCUAACUACGUGCCAGCAGCCGCGGUAAUUC
rnacentral:rRNA from 1 species